GACGAACCGUGCGAACGUUGUUCGGAAUCACUGGGCUUAAAGGGCGCGCAGGCGGCCACGCACGUCCGUUGUGAAAUCGCUCGGCUCAACUGGGCGGGGUCAGCGGAUACGGCGCGGCUGGAGCAAGCUAGGGGGCAAUGGAAUUCCCGGUGUAGUGGUGGAAUGCGUAGAUAUCGGGAGGAACACCAGUGGCGAAGGCGGUUGCCUGGAGCUUUGCUGACGCUGAGGCGCGAAAGCGUGGGGAGCGAUCCGG
rnacentral:rRNA from 1 species